UACGUAGGUGGCGAGCGUUGUCCGGAAUUAUUGGGCGUAAAGAGCAUGUAGGCGGCUUAAUAAGUCGAGCGUGAAAAUGCGGGGCUCAACCCCGUAUGGCGCUGGAAACUGUUAGGCUUGAGUGCAGAAGAGGAAAGGGGAAUUCCCAGUGUAGCGGUGAAAUGCGUAGAUAUUGGGAGGAACACCAGUGGCGAAGGCGCCUUUCUGGACUGUGUCUGACGCUGAGAUGCGAAAGCCAGGGUAGCGAACGGG
rnacentral:rRNA from 1 species